GAUGAAGAACGUAGCGAAAUGCGAUAAGUAAUGUGAAUUGCAGAAUUCAGUGAAUCAUCGAAUCUUUGAACGCACCUUGCGCCCUUUGGCCAUUCCGAAGGGCAUGCCUGUUUGAGUAUCAUGAACACCUCAACUCUCAUGGUUUGCCAUGACGAGCUUGGACUUUGGGGGUCUUGCUGGCCUUUUGGUCAGCUCCUCUCAAAUGAAUUAGCUUUCCAGUGUCUGGUGGCAUCACGAGUGUGAUAAAUAUCUACGCUUGUGGUUUCCUGCCAGGUAACCUUCAGUGAUGGAGGUUCGCUGGGGCUCAUAAAUGUCUCUCCUCAGCGAAGACAGCUUUGUGAACGUUUGAUCUCAAAUCAGGUAGGACUACCCGCUGAACUUAAGCAUAUCAAUAAGCGGAGGA
rnacentral:misc_RNA from 1 species